rnacentral:rRNA from 1 species
GACGAACGCUGGCGGCGUGCUUAACACAUGCCAGUCGAACGGAAAGGCCCUGCUUUUGUGGGGUGCUCGAGUGGCGAACGGGUGAGUAACACGUGAGUAACCUGCCCUUGACUUUGGGAUAACUUCAGGAAACUGGGGCUAAUACCGGAUAGGAGCUCCUGCUGCAUGGUGGGGGUUGGAAAGUUUCGGCGGUUGGGGAUGGACUCGCGGCUUAUCAGCUUGUUGGUGGGGUAGUGGCUUACCAAGGCUUUGACGGGUAGCCGGCCUGAGAGGGUGACCGGCCACAUUGGGACUGAGAUACGGCCCAGACUCCUACGGGAGGCAGCAGUGGGGAAUAUUGCACAAUGGGCGGAAGCCUGAUGCAGCAACGCCGCGUGCGGGAUGACGGCCUUCGGGUUGUAAACCGCUUUCGCCUGUGACGAAGCGUGAGUGACGAUAAUGGGUAAAGAAGCACCGGCUAACUACGUG